CCACACCCGUGCAACCUGCGUCCACCCUACAAUCAAUAAGCAGCCAAGCAUGAAUUGCCUCUUGAACGUCUUAAUUACAACGGAUCACUUCAAACCUGUCCACAUGUGCAUUUUUGCUCAUUUGCUCAGCUUGACAUGUUGUGGACAGUGACCUUUGCUGGAUCCUCCAAAGCAGCAUCGUAUUUCAGGAGGCCUUUCUGCAUUUGAGGGUGCUUGGUCUUGGCAGGAAUGGUAUUUAACACCCUUCAGGAGGCUGAAGUUAAUCUCAUUGAUACUGGAAUCUGUAACCAGAGAAGCUGGUAUAAUGGCCAUGUUAAUGACAACAUGAUCUGCGCAUUGACAAAGGAGGAGUUGACAUGUCAGGGUGACAGCGGAGGCCCUCUACAGUGUGACAGAGAAGACAUGCAGAGAUUUUACCUUUAUGGUGUGACAAGUCAUGGACAGGAUUGUGCAUUGCCAAACAAACCUGGCAUAUACACCAUCUGGCUAAGAAACGCUGUAGCAAGAUCUGGGUCUGCUGCAUCAGUCACAGAUCUGCCAGUUUUUAAAUUAAUCUCAGCCCUGUUAUUCUCUGCCUGGAUGGGCCUGCUAAUGUGAGCCGUCCCCCAUCAGACAUCAAAACAACUCUCUGGGCUAUGUGCUGCUUUUCUGUCAUAUCAGUAA